ACACAUGCAAGUCGAGGGGCAGCAUUUUAGUUUGCUUGCAAACUAAAGAUGGCGACCGGCGCACGGGUGAGUAACACGUAUCCAACCUGCCGAUAACUCGGGGAUAGCCUUUCGAAAGAAAGAUUAAUAUCCGAUAGUAUAUUAAAACCGCAUGGUUUUACUAUUAAAGAAUUUCGGUUAUCGAUGGGGAUGCGUUCCAUUAGUUUGUUGGCGGGGUAACGGCCCACCAAGACAACGAUGGAUAGGGGUUCUGAGAGGAAGGUCCCCCACAUUGGAACUGAGACACGGUCCAAACUCCUACGGGAGGCAGCAGUGAGGAAUAUUGGUCAAUGGACGAGAGUCUGAACCAGCCAAGUAGCGUGAAGGAUGACUGCCCUAUGGGUUGUAAACUUCUUUUAUAUGGGAAUAAAGUAUUCCACGUGUGGGAUUUUGUAUGUACCAUAUGAAUAAGGAUCGGCUAACUCCGUGCCAGCAGCCGCGGUAAUACGGAGGAUCCGAGCGUUAUCCGGAUUUAUUGGGUUUAAAGGGAGCGUAGGUGGAUUGUUAAGUCAGUUGUGAAAGUUUGCGGCUCAACCGUAAAAUUGCAGUUGAAACUGGCAGUCUUGAGUACAGUAGAGGUGGGCGGAAUUCGUGGUGUAGCGGUGAAAUGCUUAGAUAUCACGAAGAACUCCGAUUGCGAAGGCAGCUCACUAGACUGCAACUGACACUGAUGCUCGAAAGUGUGGGUAUCAAACAGGAUUAGAUACCCUGGUAGUCCACACAGUAAACGAUGAAUACUCGCUGUUUGCGAUAUACAGUAAGCGGCCAAGCGAAAGCAUUAAGUAUUCCACCUGGGG
rnacentral:rRNA from 1 species